rnacentral:rRNA from 1 species
GCCUACACAUGCAAGUCGAGGGGCAGCGGGGAAAAGCUUGCUUUUCCGCCGGCGACCGGCGCACGGGUGCGGAACGCGUAUGGAACCUGCCCCUGUCAGGGGAAUAGCCCAGGGAAACUUGGAUUAAUGCCCCAUGGUACCGCGAUAUCGCAUGAUAUUGUGGUUAAAGAUUUAUCGGACAGGGAUGGCCAUGCGUACCAUUAGCUUGAUGGUGGGGUAACGGCCCACCAUGGCAACGAUGGUUAGGGGCCCUGAGAGGGGGAUCCCCCACACUAGUACCGAGACACGGACCAGACUCCUACGGGAGGCAGCAGUGAGGAAUAUUGGACAAUGGUCGGGAGACUGAUCCAGCCAUGCCGCGUGCAGGAUGACUGCCCUAUGGGUUGUAAACUGCUUUUAUACGGGAAGAAACGCACCUACGUGUAGGUGUCUGACGGUACCGUAAGAAUAAGGACCGGCUAACUCCGUGCCAGCAGCCGCGGUAAUACGGAGGGUCCGAGCGUUAUCCGGAAUCAUUGGGUUUAAAGGGUCCGUAGGCGGGCCGUUAAGUCAGGGGUGAAAGUCUGCGGCUCAACCGUAGAAUUGCCUUUGAUACUGGCGGUCUUGAGUCAUGGUGGGGUUGCCGGAACAUGUGGUGUAGCGGUGAAAUGCAUAGAUAUCACAUAGAACACCGAUCGCGAAGGCAGGUGACCAACCAUGUACUGACGCUGAUGGACGAAAGCGUGGGUAGCGAACGGGAUUAGAUACCCCGGUAGUCCACGCCGUAAACGAUGGAUACUAGCUGUGGGGACUUCGGUCUCCGUGGCCAAGCGAAAGUGAUAAGUAUCCCACCUGGGGAGUACGUUCGCAAGAAUGAAACUCAAAGGAAUUGACGGGGGCCCGCACAAGCGGUGGAGCAUGUGGUUUAAUUCGAUGAUACGCGAG